AGUGAACGCUGGCGGUAGGCCUAACACAUGCAAGUCGAACGGCAGCACAGAGGAGCUUGCUCCUUGGGUGGCGAGUGGCGGACGGGUGAGGAAUACAUCGGACUCUACUCUGUCGUGGGGGAUAACGUAGGGAAACUUACGCUAAUACCGCAUACGACCUACGGGUGAAAGCAGGGGACCUGCGGGCCUUGCGCGAUUGAAUGAGCCGAUGUCGGAUUAGCUAGUUGGCGGGGUAAAGGCCCACCAAGGCGACGAUCCGUAGCUGGUCUGAGCGGAUGCUCAGCCACACUGGAACUGAGACACGGUCCAGACUCCUACGGGAGGCAGCAGUGGGGAAUAUUGGACAAAGGGCGCAAGCCUGAUCCAGCCAUACCGCGUGGGUGAAGAAGGCCUUCGGGUUGUAAAGCCCUUUUGUUGGGAAAGAAAUCCAGCUGGCUAAUACCCGGUUGGGAUGACGGUACCCAAAGAAUAAGCACCGGCUAACUUCGUGCCAGCAGCCGCCGUAA
rnacentral:rRNA from 1 species